rnacentral:rRNA from 1 species
ACCUUUUGUAUAAUGGGUCAGCGACUUAUAUUCUGUAGCAAGGUUAACCGAAUAGGGGAGCCGAAGGGAAACCGAGUCUUAACUGGGCGUUAAGUUGCAGGGUAUAGACCCGAAACCCGGUGAUCUAGCCAUGGGCAGGUUGAAGGUUGGGUAACACUAACUGGAGGACCGAACCGACUAAUGUUGAAAAAUUAGCGGAUGACUUGUGGCUGGGGGUGAAAGGCCAAUCAAACCGGGAGAUAGCUGGUUCUCCCCGAAAGCUAUUUAGGUAGCGCCUCGUGAAUUCAUCUCCGGGGGUAGAGCACUGUUUCGGCAAGGGGGUCAUCCCGACUUACCAACCCGAUGCAAACUGCGAAUACCGGAGAAUGUUAUCACGGGAGACACACGGCGGGUGCUAACGUCCGUCGUGAAGAGGGAAACAACCCAGACCGCCAGCUAAGGUCCCAAAGUCAUGGUUAAGUGGGAAACGAUGUGGGAAGGCCCAGACAGCCAGGAUGUUGGCUUAGAAGCAGCCAUCAUUUAAAGAAAGCGUAAUAGCUCACUGGUCGAGUCGGCCUGCGCGGAAGAUGUAACGGGGCUAAACCAUGCACCGAAGCUGCGGCAGCGACGCUUAUGCGUUGUUGGGUAGGGGAGCGUUCUGUAAGCCUGUGAAGGUGUACUGUGAGGUAUGCUGGAGGUAUCAGAAGUGCGAAUGCUGACAUAAGUAACGAUAAAGCGGGUGAAAAGCCCGCUCGCCGGAAGACCAAGGGUUCCUGUCCAACGUUAAUCGGGGCAGGGUGAGUCGACCCCUAAGGCGAGGCCGAAAGGCGUAGUCGAUGGGAAACAGGUUAAUAUUCCUGUACUUGGUGUUACUGCGAAGGGGGGACGGAGAAGGCUAUGUUGGCCGGGCGACGGUUGUCCCGGUUUAAGCGUGUAGGCUGGUUUUCCAGGCAAAUCCGGAAAA